UACGUAGGGUGCGAGCGUUGUCCGGAAUUAUUGGGCGUAAAGAGCUCGUAGGCGGUGUGUCGCGUCGGUCGUGAAAACUUGGGGCUUAACCCUGAGCUUGCGGUCGAUACGGGCAUCACUGGAGUUCGGCAGGGGAGACUGGAAUUCCUGGUGUAGCGGUGAAAUGCGCAGAUAUCAGGAGGAACACCGGUGGCGAAGGCGGGUCUCUGGGCCGAAACUGGACGCUGGAGGAGCGAAAGCGUGGGGAGCAAACAGG
rnacentral:rRNA from 1 species